rnacentral:lncRNA from 1 species
CAUAAAGCCACAUUCACUCUCUUGCUUUCUCUGUCGCAUGCACUCUCUUGCCCUUCCACCUAGUUUCCAUGUUAUGAUGCAGCAAGAAGGCCCUUGCCAGAUGUGGCUCCUGGAUUGUGGACUUUUCAGCCCCCAGAACUGUGAGCCAAACAAACUUCUUUUGUUCAUAACUUCCCCAGUCUGUGAUAUCCUGUUACAGCAGCAGAAAAUGGACUAAGACACCCAGGGAUGUACCUGGAACCUGGAAAAAGGAAAGGAGGCACUGAGGGACUCACAUGAAGCUACUCUGUCAGCAUUCUAAAACUUCUGACAUUCUUUUCUAUGAAGAUAAUUGAAUCACCAAAUUUGAUGAAAUGUUCCCCAAAUAUCAGGUAACAGAUUUUCUGUGGGGGUCUAUGGAUACACUUUAAAGUCAAGGAGAAAAUUUUUGGAUUGUUUUCCAGCGUGGACUAUUUCUUCACUGACAAGGAUUUAAAAACAAUAAAGCAUUGUACAUCGACAGAAAACAUGACACAUGUGGACCUUUCUGUAGAAGAACACAUUGCAAUCUGAAAAUCUAGAGAAUAUAAACUUGUCUUGAACAUUGUCCAAGAAAUUUUACUUAACAAAUUACUGAAGAGUCUGAGUCAUUCCAUGUUAGAGCAUAUCUUUGGUGAUACUCUUAUAGUAAG